rnacentral:rRNA from 1 species
CCUACGGGUGGCAGCAGUGGGGGAUAUUGCACAAUGGGCGCAAGCCUGAUGCAGCAACGCCGCGUGAGCGAAGAAGUCUUUCGGUAUGUAAAGCUCUAUCAGCAGGGAAGAAAAUGACGGUACCUGACUAAGACGCUCCGGCUAAAUACGUGCCAGCAGCCGCGGUAAUACGUAUGGAGCAAGCGUUAUCCGGAUUUACUGGGUGUAAAGGGAGCGUAGGCGGCCGUGUAAGUCUGAGGUGAAAGUUUGGGGCUCAACCCCAAACGUGCAUUUGAAACUGCAGGGCUUGAGUGCAGGAGAGGAAGGUGGAAUUCCUAGUGUAGCGGUGAAAUGCGUAGAUAUUAGGAGGAACACCAGUGGCGAAGGCGGCUGGCUGGACGGUAACUGACGCUGAGGCUCGAAAGCGUGGGGAGCAAACAGGAUUAGAUACCCUGGUAGUC